rnacentral:rRNA from 1 species
UACGGGGGGGGCAAGCGUUGUUCGGAAUUACUGGGCGUAAAGGGCUCGUAGGCGGCCAACUAAGUCAGACGUGAAAUCCCUCGGCUUAACCGGGGAACUGCGUCUGAUACUGGAUGGCUUGAAUCCGGGAGAGGGAUGCGGAAUUCCAGGUGUAGCGGUGAAAUGCGUAGAUAUCUGGAGGAACACCGGUGGCGAAGGCGGCAUCCU